rnacentral:rRNA from 1 species
GUUGUUGCAGUUAAAAAGCUCGUAGUUGGAUCUCAGGCCUGUGACCGGUGGUCCGCCCGAUACGGGUGUGCACUGCCGUGUCCGGUCUACGUCUGGUUUCAAUCUAUAGUGCUCUUAACCGGGUGCUAUAGAAUGCCAGAAAGUUUACUCUGAAAAAAUUAGAGUGCUUAAAGCAAGCCGUUGUGCUUGAAUACUGUUGCAUGGAAUAAUGGAAUAGGACCUCGGAUCUAUUUUGUUGGUUUUCGGAGUCGAGGUAAUGAUUAAGAGGGACAGACGGGGGCAUUCGUAUUGCGCCGUUAGAGGUGAAAUUCUUGGAUCGGCGCAAGACGAACAACUGCGAAAGCAUUUGCCAAGGAUGUUUUCAUUAAUCAAGAACGAAAGUCAGAGGUUCGAAGACGAUCAGAUACCGUCGUAGUUCUGACCAUAAACGAUGCCAACUGGCGAUCUGCCGCAGUCUGGCUUAAAGGACUCGGCAGGCAGCCUCCGGGAAACCUAAGUCUAUGGGUUCCGGGGGAAGUAUGGUUGCAAAGCUGAAACUUAAAGGAAUUGACGGAAGGGCACCACCAGGAGUGGAGCCUGCGGCUUAAUUUGACUCAACACGGGAAAACUCACCCGGCCAGGACACCGUAA